UGUUGAUGAUGAUAGAUCCAUAGACUUGUUUCUCAGAAAACAUUCGCAGUGGACGCCUAAGAGCUUUCGCCUUCGCCAGGCUUGAGAGCUUAUGCUGCUUUAAUCCUUCCUUGGAUGUCUGAAACU
rnacentral:snoRNA from 1 species